rnacentral:lncRNA from 1 species
AACAGGUCCACAUCUCUCAUAGGAAGCUGCCACUUCAUGGCAAGGAGCUGGUCUGAGCACUGUGUCCUCCACUGGCUGAACUAGGAAAAGGUUUGCAUCCACGGGCAGCAUGGUUUGGCAUGGAAAAGCACAGAUGGGCUCAGAAACUGUCUCCAAGCUGCUCUUGACAAGUAAAAUUGACAGCAGGACCUUGCAGUUAGAAGCCAGGCACAGGAACACGAGGUCAAGAGAAGUCAGCUGCACGAUUCCCUUUGAUUUCUAUGAGAUGAGAGUUACAGCUGGAAUUCUGGAUUCGGUUUCCACCUCUUCUCCAUACCUUCACUGUGCUUUCAGCAAGUGCAGCCAGGUACCCAGCUGCCUAAAUUCCAUAGCCUGAAAAUUUUGCUCAAGGGACUGCUGUUCACCAGGUCUGCAGCAUAUGCUUCCUUCAGCCCUUGUUCUGCACAGCAAAAGCAAACGGGAUCCCACUGAACGCCUUCCUGCCACCUCUAACUGAAACGCUCUGCAUACUUUUGCUCCCCAAAGUUUG